rnacentral:tRNA from 1 species
AGGGUAAUAGCUCAGGGUUAGAGCGCAUGUUUAGCAUGCGUGAGGUCCUGAGUUCAACCCCCAGUACCUCCA